rnacentral:tRNA from 1 species
GUCCCCAUCGUCUAGUCAGGCCCAGGACAUUGCCCUUUCAAGGCAACGACGCGGGUUCGAAUCCCGCUGGGGACGCCA